rnacentral:lncRNA from 1 species
CCUGGGAAAGAAUGCCUCAUCCUCUGAGGUGUCUUCCAUCUUUAGCUCUUUGGAUUCGGUGAGCUGCGUAGGUUGGGGUUUGAUUUGGCGUUAAGGAUGGUUGAACUCAAUAAAUAAAGGCGAUUUUCCCCUCUUAUUGUUUCAUUUCCAGUGCACACUAGCACAAACAUGGCAGAGGCCAUUUAUUGUUAACACAAAGCUGUGACUAUGGUGGCCUGAACAGUGUGAUAUACAUGCUCUGUCUUGGCUUUUAUAGGGCAGCUGUUUCUCAGAGGAUCGAGCUCAGGUAUCGGGAGUGUGAAUUAUGAGCCCUAAUCAGCUUGGUCAUGCUUUGUGGCCUGGGAAAAGCCAGAGUGUUUCCCUUUUAUCAUUUCAGAGUGCACUUUCUGCUGCUGUGGAGCAAUCAGCCAAUCUUUUAAAUGGAUACCUGGUAAACGCUGCAUGUCCUUGGAGAGCCACUGCAACAGGUUCCUGUGGGAGCGGAGGCCAUCAAGGGGUCCCCACAACAAUUGCCUUAGAUUCAGCUAAAUGGCUGGUAAGCCAAUGGAAAAACUGACUGUAAGUGAAAGAAAGUAAAACUUCCAGACAGACAGGAACAUCAACACAUCCAUGGCUGUCCCUGCCCCCAUGAAAUCGUCAAAAACACAAAGAGAUUUCAUACCACGAGGACUAAAGGUCACAUGGUGCACCAUGGAGAUUCUGCUAGACAGCACACUCAAGAGGGAAAUGUUAAAAAGGAGAACCAGCCAAACAGUGUCCUCUCCAUUUGUAGCCUCGCAAAGAAAACUCACAGGCAAAGAAAGGGAGGAGAGCUUCCUGUGAACACCUCCACAGGUGUUCACCUCUGCAUACCUUACUGCUGGCUUAUAAAAUGGGGCCUAACGAAAAGAAGGACAGAUGGAAGGAAACUGCUUGUGGAACCAAAAAGUCUUGCAACAAACCUGCCCUCAGGCAGGAGGCUACUAAGCCAGGUCCAGGCCUCAGCCCCUUUCAUGCCACAGACCCAAAGGGCUGUGACCGCUCCCCUCCCCUAAUUAAAGCAUUGGCCACCUAUUCACUCCUCCAGGAUCCCUCUUUCUUAAACUAACUAAAGAAAAAUAUUCCUAUCUCCUCCCAUCUCCCCUUGAUGUCAUCCCCAAAGAUAAGCCCAUUGACCAUUUUAAGAGUUUCAGAGCCAGUUAUAAUAGAGACGCUGAAAGGAGAAAGCAAGCCUACGUGGAUUAUGCACACGUGCUCAAUUCUUUUGAUUUUACAGAGCUCUCAUCCUCAUGCAAGGCACUGAAAUUCAUUGAGCUUAAUGUCCUUAUCUACAAACUGGCGUAAUACCUCCAGCACAGGUAGGAGCAACAGCCAUGGAGAAGCACUGCCCAGAGACCUGUUCUAGGAAGGAUCUGAUUCCCAGGUGAAGAGGAGGAUCAGCAGACAGCCUCCAGUUGUCAGAGCCAACAGGGUCUGCUCAGGUGCAGAGAACCGCCUGUCUGAGAUCAUAGGUUUCCCAGGUAGGAUGACCAGCUCCUUGGGUGUGCCUGGAACUUUCUUGGCACUAAAAGUCUCGCAUCCCAGGAUGGGUCUGUGGGCUGGAGUCUGACUCAAUGGGUGCAUCCUUAAAAGCAGAGCCAUUUGCCCUCAGCAUCUGACAAGGCCAAACCUUUGUGAAGAUUGGGGUCCAUUGUCUGGAACAAUGAGCCACAGUGAUUCGGCUCUUCCUCCCCUCCCCCGCACCAGCUGAGCUGAGCACAGCUGCCCACAGAGCCCACUGGGAUCUACUGACAAGAAAAUUAAUGUGAUCUAUUCCUCCCACAAACUCCCAUAACACUCCAUAACUUUCUAAUGAUGCCCUCCACAUUCCAGCCUUUGUGGUAGCUAUUGCUGAACUUGUCUUGCUCUCUCUCCUGGACUGUGAGCCUCGGACCCUACACUAGUGACUGGAAUGUUUGUGUGUGAAGAAAUGAGCGAAAGGAUGGCGCAUUGCAACCUGUGCUUCCCUCUCUUGCAUUCCCAUUCACAUUAAAAGACCUUCCAACUGUGAGGGGUUAAGAAUACAUGAAGACUCAUGACACCAAAAACCUAGGUUCCUCUCCCACCUCCGCCUGAAAUCCUAAGACCCUUUCGCUUCACUCUCAGGUUUGUUUGUAGCGUGAAUAAAUCUGUUACUUUAUAGAUGCA